CGUAGGUGGCAAGCGUUAUCCGGAUUAUUGGCGUAAGCGCGCGUAGGCGGUUCUUAAGUCUGAUGUGAAGCCCACGGCUCAACCGUGGAGGUCAUUGGAACUGGGAACUUGAGUGCAGAAGAGGAAGUGGAAUUCCAUGUGUAGCGGUGAAUGCGCAGAGAUAUGGAGGAACACCAGUGGCGAAGGCGACUUUCUGGUCUGUAACUGACGCUGAUGUGCGAAAGCGUGGGAUCAAACAGGAUU
rnacentral:rRNA from 1 species